GUAGGUGGCAAGCGUUGUCCGGAAUUAUUGGGCGUAAAGCGCGCGCAGGCGGUCCUUUAAGUCUGAUGUGAAAGCCCACGGCUCAACCGUGGAGGGUCAUUGGAAACUGGGGGACUUGAGUACAGAAGAGGUAAGCGGAAUUCCAAGUGUAGCGGUGAAAUGCGUAGAGAUUUGGAGGAACACCAGUGGCGAAGGCGGCUUUCUGGUCUGUAACUGACGCUGAGGCGCGAAAGCGUGGGGAGCAAACAGGAUUAGAUACCCUGGUAGUCCACGCCGUAAACGAUGAGUGCUAAGUGUUAGGGGGUUUCCCGCCCCCUUAGUGCUGCAGCUAACGCAUUAAGCACUCCGCCUGGGGAGUACGGCCGCAAGGCUG
rnacentral:rRNA from 1 species